AUUGAACGCUGGCGGCAGGCCUAACACAUGCAAGUCGAACGAGUGGCGGACGGGUGAGUAAUGUCUGGGAAACUGCCCGAUGGAGGGGGAUAACUACUGGAAACGGUAGCUAAUACCGCAUACCAUCGGAUGUGCCCAGAUGGGAUUAGCUAGUAGGUGGGGUAACGGCUCACCUAGGCGACGAGCCCUAGCUGGUCUGAGAGGAUGACCAGCGACACGGGAACUAAGAUACGGCCCAAACACAUACGGUAGGCAGCGAUGGUGAAUAUUGCACAAAGGGGGAAACCCUGAUGCAGCAACGCCGGGUGCGGGAUGACGGCCUUCGGGUUGUAAGCCGCUUUCAGCCAUGACGCGGUAGUGGCAGAAGAAGCACCGGCUAACUACGUGCCAGCAGCCGCGGUAAUAC
rnacentral:rRNA from 1 species